rnacentral:rRNA from 1 species
UAGGGAAUCUUCCGCAAUGGGCGAAAGCCUGACGGAGCAACGCCGCGUGAGUGAUGAAGGUCUUCGGAUCGUAAAACUCUGUUAUUAGGGAAGAACAAAUGUGUAAGUAACUAUGCACGUCUUGACGGUACCUAAUCAGAAAGCCACGGCUAACUACGUGCCAGCAGCCGCGGUAAUACGUAGGUGGCAAGCGUUUUCCGGAAUUAUUGGGCGUAAAGCGCGCGUAGGCGGUUUUUUAAGUCUGAUGUGAAAGCCCACGGCUCAACCGUGGAGGGUCAUUGGAAACUGGAAAACUUGAGUGCAGAAGAGGAAAGUGGAAUUCCGUGUGUAGCGGUGAAAUGCGCAGAGAUAUGGGGGAACACCAGUGGCGAAGGCGACUUUCUGGUCUGUAACUGACGCUGAUGUGCGAAAGCGUGGGGAUCAAACAGG